GACAGGUACAAGGGGCUCAUUGGUUGCUUGGCCUGCUUUUCGUAUAUCAAUGAGGAUAUCCCUGACAUAAAUUCGUUUUGUGACAGUCUUGGAGAGAAAUUUACUAUUGUCGAUGCAUACACUCAUCCGGGGUAGAAUCUGAUCUCGAGUAAACAUUGUGCUCCACCAGAAGAAGAGCAUCUGGAUGUCUUAAUCCUAACAUUCGGGAGUGCACUUCGUUUGAUGCCUUGAAAGAUCAGUAUAUUGGGAAUCAUGAGAUAGUCAUCCAGAGUUUGGUCAGAUUUGAACUGAUUUGGCUUACAAUUUGUAAUUUUGCAAUCAGCUUUCCUACAAGGUACUUUCAGAUCUUCAUUCGACUUAUUAUACAUGACCGUUAAUAAUCCCUCGAAAAUGAACUCCAUUGCUGUAAUUGAAAAUUUAAAAGCACAAGAUUUAAUGGCUUGUGUGGUCAUACAUAUUGAUGCUUAUUUAUUUUAGACCCUUUAAAGGAAUAAGGGUUCAUGGCAUAUUUUUAUUUCAAGUAUUUGUCUACAGAUGUUUCUAUAAAACAAUACAAUUUAUUAUGUUACAGUUAAGAAUCUAUUCAAAAUUGCACUUUAUCUUGCAUAGAUCAAACUCUGUUAAGCUACAAGGUGCACUUAGCUAUCAUUUCUCCCCAUUUCCCAGUAAGAGCCAACAGUAGGUAGGUCUAAUUUUGCUUCUGUGAGCCGUCUGAUUAAAUAUUGGGUUUGUGGUGACACCAACUGUCGAUGUGCAAUUCUUUCAAUUUUACCUGUUUCUUUGUUCUUUUUAUAUAACAGUUUUGCAAUUUGGGUGGCAUGUUUCAAGCUUGCUAUCCAUGUGCCAGAGUCAUGAGUUGGUCAUGAGAUCUUAUGGGUUUCACCUCUAGCCUACCCCAACUUGUUUGCGACUAAAGGCUUUGUUGUUGUUGUACCAUUUGACACUGAAAUAUCUUCCUCAGAAGUCACUAAGAUGAAUCCUUUUCCCGUCUUUUGCUUGAUUUAACUGCUAAACUACAUGUUCCCAAAACUGGCAUUAAUACUUUUACAACCAGACUCAGCGAGUACAGUACCGAAACUGAGCCUAUUUGCCAAAAUAUUUGUUAUUUUCCUUAUCCUCCUAAGGGCAAAGUUUUCGCCAAGUGGUUGAAUGACAAUAUUAUGCGAUUGGGUCUCACAUUCAUUAAAAUAGCAUAGGAAUUAUGCACCUGAGUAAUCAUUUAUUAUACCAUCCAACUCCGUUUGUGGUUUGCUCCUCUCGACGAUAGGAUGAGGCUGGUAAUAUGCAUAUAAUCGUUCAUCUACGGCGUGCAUCCGUUAAUCAUGUUUUAUACAGCAGGAGUGCUUCAGUUAUCUAUUUUCUUGACAGAAUGGUACAAUAUCUGAUUGCUUAUAUGCAGGUUUUAGAAUAAUUUAUUUACCAGGUUUUAGAAUCUGUUAUGUAAAGAACAUUGGGUACACCUUCCGGUUGGUAGACAACUCCCUAUAUUCUAUAGAUAUGGCGUUUUGGUUAGCUGGCAUUUAUUGGUUACUCAAUGACCUUUUGGUUAGUGUACUAUUGGUUCGGUUAUGUGGCACCUGCAAUAUGCAGGAAAAAUGAAAUAUGUAACCUAAAGUGUGAUCAUACUUUUUCGGUGGCGUUAUGGGCCCUGCUUUCGAUACUUCAGUUAUACCAAAUACUUGUCGCCUUUAGCAUUAUUCAGUUCCAUGUAUAAAUUCAUGUUUGAGUUUGUAUAUAAUAAUCUAAUGCCUCAUAUGUUCAUUUCAUUUAGUCAUCUCAACUUCAACUUUAAAAGUUGUAUCUAUGUAGUUAAUACAAAGUACAGGCAUGCGGUCUAAAUCAAGAUCACAGUGAGAUGGCGCAGCUUGAUUUGCUGCUUCCUCUUCUGCUGUGUGUUUGCUCAGUGUGUUUGUUCCAAGGUGAGCCUCUUUCUUUUUCCCAUGCUUUUGACCUGCUCAUAGUGGAGUAUGGUCACGGUUGGUUCCUAGAUGUACCAUAGACAUGUCUGGACUAUGAACUCUUUUUUACCAGCUCUGAGAUUUUACAUAGUGAUGGCUCAUGAUUAAGAUUAUUACUGUGAAAAAGAACUUACCUCAUGUUAUCAUGUACUCCCUCCGACCAAAAAUAUGUGUCAUAAAGCUCAUAUAUCUCUUUAGGGGCAAAUGAUUAUGAUAGAGAUACCAAGAAACUAAAUGGAACUCAUAAAGCUCAUGACCAUCACGGGAGGCAAGGUUCACCUUUUUUUCUUUUCUUCAUCUUACUCACAGCCCACAGUGUUAUGAAUUUUAUUUAUGUCUGCAACUUUUGGUAUCACAAAGCAAGGAUGAACCCGCUACAUCUUAGCGCACCUUUAACUACUUUAUUUGCUGUACUAUUGUGGAUGUACCGCAGAAUAAAGCAGUCCUCCAUUUUUCUUCUCUGCAGGCUGAUGUUCUUGCUCAAUAUAAGCCAACAAUUGACACAAAAUCGUUGAUUGCUAAACUAAAGAGGUUUAAUGAGUUGGCAGCUAAUGCUUUAGUGAGCUUUAAGAGUAUCCGGAGUAUUGUUCUAUAUUACGAGGAUGUGAUCAGCAAUCGCACUGUGAGCCCUAUUGGACAAUAUUAAUGUUUGGGAAAUAAUCACCAUUUAUUUCUCUCGAUAACAUUGGUUAAGCCCUCUUUCAGAAGCUCACAGAUGUGCUGCUAUCCAGUCUCUAUGUGAAAAUCCAUACUAAAUUAUUGUGUGAUCAUAUUGAUAAUUGGAUUGAUGUUUAUAAUGCUUGGAUUGGGACUCAAUAUCACAUCUUCUUGAAUGGUUGAAGAUGAGCAAAUUAGACAGGUCUAAAUAAUGACUCAAUAUCACAGCCAGUCAAUUCUCUUCAUGCUAGAUUUACAAUUUACUUGAUACAAAAAGGCAAUACAGUUUAGUAACGACCUGGAACUAGCAGGCUAUCCCAUUUGUUCAGGUUAUGAGCAGUACUGUUUCCUUCUUAAAUUUGGGCAAUCUUUAAAAUACCAUAUUACUACGCAAAGCUUUAAAAAGCAAUCCAGAAUAGAGGCCAGACCUUAAUCAUGUUGAUAUUUUCUAUUAUGAAUUCAUGAUAUUCCAAUUUUCAUGUCUUCUUUGUGUUGUAAGUGGCUGCUCUAGACAGAGUACUUAUGUCGUACUUAUAGCUUAUUCCUAUACAUUUAGUUCUUCUAACAUUCAAUAGUCAGUACCCAGCAAUCCUUGUGGACCCGGUACUGAUUACUUCUGGUGGUCAUGGAUAACUAAAAAUUGCCUUCUUUUCGCGUUGCAUCAAGAUGAAAUUAAGCUCUUGAGUUUCUUGGAGCAGCCCUACAUGUGAUUGUUGUGGGUUUUUGAAACUACAUAUGAUGUCACAUAGGCAUGCUACUAAAGUUUAGGCAUUGAUGUUGUUUGAGCGUCUUUUGGUCCUAGUGGAACCUUUAUUGAACUUAUUAACAUGUUUUAGUCUUAUACUCCCUCCGUUUUUAUUUAGUUCGCAUAUUAGAUUUGGUCAAAAUCAAGCUUUACAAACUUUGACC